GGGGAAUAUUGGACAAUGGGCGCAAGCCUGAUCCAGCCAUGCCGCGUGAGUGAUGAAGGCCUUAGGGUUGUAAAGCUCUUUCAGUGGGGACGAUAAUGACGGUACCCACAGAAGAAGCCCCGGCUAACUUCGUGCCAGCAGCCGCGGUAAUACGAAGGGGGCUAGCGUUGUUCGGAUUUACUGGGCGUAAAGCGCACGUAGGCGGAUCGUUAAGUCGGGGGUGAGAUCCUGGAGCUCAACUCCAGAACUGCCUUCGAUACUGGCGAUCUUGAGUCCGGAAGAGGUGAGUGGAACUCCUAGUGUAGAGGUGGAAUUCGUAGAUAUUAGGAAGAACACCAGUGGCGAAGGCGGCUCACUGGUCCGGUACUGACGCUGAGGUGCGAAAGCGUGGGGAGCAAACA
rnacentral:rRNA from 1 species